rnacentral:rRNA from 1 species
UCCCGACGGUCCAAGUCGUAUCCACAAUUAUUGGGUCUAAAACAUUCGUAGCUUGUAUUAUAAGUCUCUUGUGAAAUUCUACAUCUUAAGUGUAGAGCGUGCAAGAGAUACUAUUUUGCUUGAGACCGGAAGACGCAAAGAGUACGAUUGAGGUAAUGGUAAAAUAUGUUAAUCUCGAUCGGACUAACAACAGCGAAGGCACUUUGCGAGUACGGUUCUGACAGUGAGGAAUGAAGGCUAGGGGCGCAAAAGG